UACAGAGGUCUCGAGCGUUGUUCGGAUUCACUGGGCGUAAAGGGUGCGUAGGUGGUGAGGUAAGUCGGAUGUGAAAUCUCCGAGCUCAACUCGGAAACUGCAUUGGAAACUACCUUGCUCGAGGGUUGGAGGGGGGACUGGAAUGCUUGGUGUAGCAGUGAAAUGCGUAGAUAUCAAGCGGAACACCAGUGGCGAAGGCGAGUCCCUGGACAACUCCUGACACUGAUGCACGAAAGCUAGGGGAGCAAACAGG
rnacentral:rRNA from 1 species